GGUCUUAUGGUCUAGUGGUAUGAUUCUCGCUUAGGGUUAACCCUGAGUUUACAACUUGCGAGAGGCCCCGCGUUCGAGUCGCGGUAAGACCC